rnacentral:lncRNA from 1 species
UUUAUAUGAAAAAUGUAAUUAUCAAAUAAUUUAUAAAUAAAUUUUUAUACUCACUACUUUUCUUUCUGUAUCUAAAUCAAUAAAUUCACUAACUUUUUUCUUAUGUGUUAUCACCCAAAACGUUAAUCUAUCAGGUUGGUUUCCAUAUUUCCUUUCCUACAAAAUUAAAUGCAAAAAUUUUAGUUCGUCAUCCAACAAAAACUAAAA